CAUAGCUCAGGUAACAGCUGCUGCUCCUGUCAUUCAGGUCACCACUGGUCAUAGCUCAGGUAACAGCUGCUGCUCCUGUUCAUUCAGGUCACCACUGGUCAUAGCUCAGAUGCCCUGAUUAGAUUGYUCAAUGGUCCUAACUCCUGCUCUGGGAGAGUGGAGGUCUACCACAGUGGUAGCUGGGGGACGGUGUGUGAUGACUCGUGGGACUUGAGUGACGCCCAGGUGGUGUGUAGACAGCUGGGCUGUGGGAGAGCUCUGUCUGCACCACACCAAGCCCACUUCGGACAGGGGAAUGGACAGAUCUGGCUGGAUGACGUUCUCUGUUCUGGAGGGGAGUCUAUCUCUCAUGCAGUGUGGCCACCUAGGGUUUGGGUCACACAACUGUAAUCAUGGUGAAGAUGCGGGUGUUGUCUGUUCAGCUUCAGCAGGUGGCAGCAACACACAGCAGCACCACCAUCUCUGGAACACUACAACAGAGACACGAGGACCAAUCUACCCAACAACCCCAUCGGUAGUUAACUCCACGCCAGGGUGCAAGGGGCUAGGUCACAGUGGGUGGAGGUGGAACCAGAAGUGAUAUCAUAUCCUGGCCAGACGGUUAACCUGCGUGUGCCUUCACAGGAAC